CGCCUGUUUAUCAAAAACAUCGCCUCUUGCUAAACCAAAAGUAUAAGAGGUCCCGCCUGCCCUGUGACUAUAUGUUUAACGGCCGCGGUAUUUUGACCGUGCGAAGGUAGCGCAAUCACUUGUCUUUUAAAUGGAGACCUGUAUGAAUGGCAUAACGAGGGCUUGACUGUCUCCUCUUUCAAGUCAAUGAAAUUGAUCUCCCCGUGAAGAAGCGGGGAUAGGCACAUAAGACGAGAAGACCCUAUGGAGCUUUAGACACCAAGGCAGAUUAUAGUCCAUAAUCCUAAUUUAAAAGGGUAUAAAUUGAUUAAGUCCUGUCCCUAUGUCUUUGGUUGGGGCGACCGCGGAGAAACAAAAAACCCCCGCACGGACCGAACGAAUAUUAACGUUUACAACUAAGAGCUACAGCUCUAACUAACAGAACUUCUGACCAAUCAGAUCCGGCAAUGCCGAUCAAUGAACCGAGUUACCCUAGGGAUAACAGCGCAAUCCCCUCUUAGAGUCCAUAUCGACGAGGGGGUUUACGACCUCGAUGUUGGAUCAGGACAUCCUAAUGGUGCAGCCGCUAUUAAGGGUUCGUUUGUUCAACGAUUAAAGUCCUACGUGAUCUGAGUUCAGACCGG
rnacentral:rRNA from 1 species